UGUGCUGCCCCUUUCUACGUUUUUUCUCAUAAUAAGCAACACUCAGACAAUCCCUUGCGUGGAAGAGAAGCGCGUGGAUUAGUGCAUUAGUGAAACGUGAAUCAUGAAUCAUGAACAGUCGCAACUCAUGAGGAUGUUUCAGAAAAUUACUGUAUGUUAUAGAUAGACCAAUGACGAAGACGCGCAAUUGCCAGACGCAGAGACCUAAAAUAUGAGGAUAUUCGCCUCGAACCGAAUGAUGCGGUACCAGUCGCAAUACGUUUUGACAUGAGGUGUGUCGGCGGGGAAUCAUCAUGAUCAAAAAUAAAGAAACAAGAGGGUUUGUUGAUAAGUAAUCUAACUACGGAUGAGCUAGAAUGACCAGCUCUUGUAAACGAGACAACGAGCAGAGGAGGAGAUUACAGCACUUUCAAUCAGACCUCGCAAAUCUGGGGUCUUUACAGGGCUUUCAAUACUUCCAGCCUUGGCUGAGAGGGAGGGAGGAGCUGCUGCUGACAAUAGUCAAUGAGGAUCAGGGCUGGCAGUCUCCCGGCUUCCCGGUCUCAGCGGCCUCGUCCUCCCUCAGCAGCGCCAGCUCCAGCAGCUACAGCUUUGGCAGCGGCUAUGACAGCUCCCCACUGCCCGGGGAGAAGCCUCCUCUAGCGGCCAGGCCGAGGCAGCAGCAGACACAGGCCAAGCAGCAGCAGCAGCAGCAGCAGCAACAACAGGCCAGCAGGUGGAGAGGGCUGCACACUAGAACAUAAUGCACAGACGUGCACACUUACACGUGCAGUGUUGAACAUAUACUAUAGAAGCUACCUGUCAAAGGCUUUAGGGAGACCUGGUUGAAAUGUUGGUGUGUAUAAGCAGUCAUAUUGGUACGAACCAAUUUUUUGAGAGCAUCUUUAAACUGAUAAAGUGUUCCAGAUGUUGUUGGUAUUAGACAUAAUACAGCUAAUUUAGCUGUCCGUUUGAAUCAAUAGGGUCAAAUGAGACUCUAUGUGAGCAGCAGAUUAGUAGUAUUCAAUGAUGCAUAGGGGAAAGAAUUUAGAUUCUGUUCCAAAAUCCAAGUCGGAAUGUAACCUUCUGUGCAGUAGGUCUCCCAAGGCAUUUGACAGGUAGUGUGCACUCAUGCAGCCAUACAGACCUACUCAGUACACAUGCACUCACUGCUGAGGAGACACAACCUCACACACACACACACACACACACACACACACACACACACACACACACACACACAUACACACACACACAGACUUUGCUCCUCCCAUACAU
rnacentral:lncRNA from 1 species